GCUGAGGUGACAUUUUCAACAGCAGGUGUCCAAUCUUCUCUAUGGUUGAUCUAGGCAACCUUUCUACUUUGGUAGGUGAGGAGUUAGUUCAUUUAUGGACUUAUUUUUCUUGUUUUAAAAUGUUGUCGCCUACACUACUACAGGUGCAAACUCACCUUUGUGAGAGUGGGCUGAAUCCACACUCACUACCAAGGUGUGACAGUUAAGGGAUUGGGAUGCAGGUGUGUCUAACCCUGCUCGCACACCUCCCAGGAGAGCAAUGAGUGCAAGCCAGCAGAUCUGUAUCAAAAGGCUGGACUUAGCAUUCACCUCCAUCAGCAGCAACCAUCUGAUACUACGUUGCCGCUUUUCUCUAAGCGAGUUUCCUGCAAAAAUCCACCUGAAAUAAUCAGUGGAAAUAAUGCUAUCUCCCAUGUAAAAUAAACCAUGAUGGUCAGAGCCACCUUGUGCAUGAUAAAAUCAUAACACAUAGAAAGCCAGAAAAAAAAAGAUUUUAAAAUAUAUACGGACGCCAAAGGAAGAGCUCACUAAGCAGAGAUGGGCUGGAUACCCAGAUCUGUUAGCUGUCACGUAUUCAUUCCUGUUGUAGUUUUCUGAAAGCAAUUAUUUUCCUCUGGAGUCAAGUUUUCAGCUGCAGGCCUUGGUCAUCGUGAGAUGUACUCAUGGUGAAUCUGGUGGGAAGAGAAAACCGACAAACACUUCUCUGACUUGCCUCAGGGUGGAAGCCGUGGCAGGAUUCCGGACGCCUCCUGAUCUUCUGAGCCUUUAAGCGCUCGCACUUAAGAGAUUCGAUAUACCUGAUUUCAAUGGGCGCCAUGGUGAUAGGAGCCACAGACUCACAGAGGCAGCUGCUGUCCACCACCACCAUGAACAGAUUGCUACUCGGGAUUUGCUGGAUGACAAAGGACCUGUGGGAACAGGAGGUGACAAGACAGUGAGGGGCCAUUUACCAUCUGCCUUCAUUUCAUUUCUGCUACUUCGAUGCAAUCCCCUGACCACGGGACUUAGGAAGAAAGCAUUUGUUUUAAUUCCCAGCUUCAGGCUAUUCAGUUCAUUGUGGGGAAGCCACAGCUUAGGAGGUUGACACAGCUGGUCACAUGGCAUCCGUAUACAUUAGGAGCAUGGAGCAGUGGAUCCAGGCACUCUCAUGCUCAACGGAUUUUCUCCACUCAUAUAGUUUAACAGCCCUUGCCUAGGGAAUGAUGUCUCCCACAGUGGGCGGAUCAUCCUGCCUCAGGUAACAUAAUCAAAAUGAAUUGGCCAACUUGGUAUAGGCAACCACGCAUUAAGAUUCUUUUCCCAGAUGAUUCUAGAUUGUGUUCACUCGACAACUGAAAUGAACCAUCACACACUGUCUGCCUAUAUAGGAGCACUUCUGUCCCUUAGGUCCAACCACAAUAUUUGAUGGAGCCAGCUUCAGAGAAGUUGCCUCCCUCAAUUGGGGUGCUUUAAUUAAAAAAAAAUCCUAAACUGGAAUGAGAAAGCAACAGCUGUAUUCUCUUGAAGUUAGUGCCAUUCAUCUGGAGAGUCUGGGGUUUCAAAUAGAGAAAUCAGUCAGAACUGGCUAAGUCAUGUCAGUUUUCAAAAUGUACCCUCUUAAUAUCUGAUUUCAUUCUCUAGGAUUAGAUUUCAGGACGACCCAAGCGAGUUAUCUCCUGUUUCCCUGCCAAGCGCUUCUAGUUUGGUCAGGAAGUAUCCAGGGCCCAAAGCAUCAUCUCCUACAGGACUCUCUUCAGUCGGAGCUUGCCCCCUCUCUUCCAAGGCUGCACAGAAAAAGACCCCUUCCUGUGCCACUGUGUUCUCUUAUCUGCCCGGGAGAGAGGAGGCUGUUUCCAGUGACAUUUAUGCUAGACACAGAGGAGGUUCUAGAAUCCAUAUUAAUUUCAGGUCUAAGAUUGUAAAACAGCUCCACCCUUUGGGAUCCACUGAACCAGAGUGGUCUGAAGAAGCUGCCUGGACUUCAAGGAUCUCGCGUGACUAGAGCAUAGGGAGCGUGCAAAGAUUUGGGAUACUGCAGGGUGAAAUGCAAAAUUAUCUUGGUCCAUCUUAGUCCCUUUAAUAACCAUCCUCUUUAACUUUGUAUUGAUCUUAACAUUCUUGGGAGUAUUAGAGAAUCUGGGAAUAAUCUUCUAAGAGCCCUGACCUCCACCAACACUAAAGCUAAGAAUGCUAAGAUCACAUCAGAAAGCUUGCUUUCUUAAACAGCCUACCUCCCUACUGCCCCCACUAAGGUAUUUGGAAAAUGCAUUUACUUUAUUAUUUUGUUUAGUUAAGUGACAUAAAAAGUGGAUGUAACUUCAUGGUAGACUAUGUAUGUCAUUCAGGGUGACCUGCAAAUGUGUUUUCCAGCCAUGGUCAUUCAUUAUCUUUUCAUUUCUAUUAAAACAGGCACAUUAUUUUAUAUCAACAGUUUUGGUUCCUACGUGGACCCCCAAGAGAGUAUCUGCUUUUGCUAGAUGAGUCAUUUGGAUUGCUGCCAUGCAUCAGCGUGAACUGGCUAUGUCCCUAAUCCCAGAACAUGGAGCCUCUUCAAGGGGAUAUUGCCUAACAGAGAGACGCCCAUGGAAGAGAAGGCAGAAAGAACGUAAAUGCCAGGAGUAGGGGGAGAGUGCGGUGAAGCACUGUGUCCUGGACAUGGUGUGGCUGUCACGCUCAUGGACGUACAGCCGCUGUAGCUACCUGCACAAGACCACAGCAGCCAGAAUUCCAGCAUGAAUGGCAGCAAACCUCACGAAGCCUCACCGGUGAAGAGCUAAUGGAAGACAUGAAGUUGGAAGGGGAAAUGGAGGAUUGAUAGGAUCACAUUUCAUUGACUAUACACGUGAAAUUCUCAGCACUGUCCAUGAAGAGAUGAUGAUUGCUAUUAUGAAAAUACACGGAUAUAGAAAGCUCACUAUGAGAACAGAUACAGGAAGGCAGACAGGAACCCAAUGUAAUGUGACAGAAAACCAGCAGACCACAAAAAAAAUAUGUUAGAAGUGAAGGACAUGGAAACAUAUAAAGAGCAGAGUCCAACAAGACUACAGGUAGACGUUCAUACCAACAACAACCAGGGGUAAGUGCAUCCAGUUCAUCAACAACAAAAAUCCUCAUAGACCAACUGACCCACUGUAUUAAGAAAGAUCUAUCAAGACUCUAGCUCCAGGCUGUGAUACAGCAACAGCUCGGUGUCAUCCUAUUAGGCUGGUGGGAGCGGGUCUCAACCAAGUGCUGCCAGGAACCUACGGCACCAGGCAAUCAGACAUCAUGGUGGUGGGGGCAUGGUUCAUGAGCUUGGGAGAGGGGCGAGGGCAGUGAGGAACAGGCUGAUGUAAUUGGCCCCUUAGCCACCAGAGUCCAGGGUCAUUUCUGGGCUUGAGCUACUGCCAAGAGCCAAUCUUGGUCUGAGGCCCUGAAGCAGCUGAGGGGGCAUAAGGUGAUAUCUGUGACUCUUGUUGCCACUGAGGGCUGUGCAGAGGCCUGCAGUCUGGGCCGCCAGGCUGGUGUCUGAGGGCCACUAUGGAAGCCAUACCUAUCUGGGGCCAUGGUGACAUUCAGGGUCCGGCUGUCGCUGGGUCCAUAGUCAGGGUCUGUGUUGAUGUCUGGUGGCCUAUGGUGCAACCAGUGGCCACAUGGAUGCCUAGGGUCUGGGCCAAAGCAGGGCCAUGCUGGGUUGAGUGUCACCUGGAACCACCGUGUCGUUCUGGACAAGGCUGGUGAUGAGGGCCAUGCGAGCAGCCAGGGUCUGAGUUGAUGCUCAUGGCUCCUGAUGCCAUUGAAGGUCAUGUCAAUGCCAGGGAUCAGGGGGCCCACUGCUGUGGGAGCCAUGUAGAACGGCAUGGCCUGCACUGCCACCAGGGCUCGUGUUUACAUCUGAGCCAGACUAGGACCAUGGCUGGGCUCCCAUGCUGCCACAGCCAGGGUCUGUGUUGAUAUCCGUGGUACCACACAGGGUGAGAGGGGUCGGGUCAUAGGGACCAAGUAUGCUGAAAUCCAAUGGCCACACUGAGCUGGCCCCGCCCCUCUUGCCUGGGAUGCACACUGGAGUUGGCCCUGUUGUCAGGGACACAGGUGAGCAGGCCUGAGGGGGGCAUGAGAACACAGGAGCUGACCAACCCUGCCUUGUCUGCUAUGUGGUGGGCUGGGUGAGGAAAAGAUGCUUUCUAACUAUGGCAGGCAAGAGAGCUUACCCCAGCAGCAGCCUGAUCCUGCUUGUCACCAUGGCCCCGCUGGGCCCCAGGGUCACGGGAGUCAGAGAACUAACUACCCCUGUCCCUCGCCAGCUGCAGCACACAGGAGAGCAGACCCUGCACCCUGCCAGGGGAGCACACCAGAGCCAGCCAUGAGGGCUUGAGAGCACCCAUGUAUGCCCCCUACAGCAAUUGGGAGAGAAGGUCCUAUACCUUGUCUGGAGAAAACAGUAGCGCUGUUCCUGGUGAUACAGAGUGAGGGGGGACUCGGGUCUGAAGUCCUGAGAGCAGAAGAACUGGCCCCACCCCUUGCUUCGGGCUUCAUUGGGUGAGCUAGCCAAGGCAGUGCUGGAGAGCUCAUCUGGGUGGUGAGGGUGAGGGACAGCCUGGACAACCUCCACCAAAUCUAUGAACUGUUGGAGCAUGCGAAGGGAACAAGCCUACAGAUCCAAAGCUGCAGGAUCCCCAAGAGGUGAUCAGUGGUGUGCCAGAAGUCAGAGGCCUUGAACCAGACCAAUGACUCGUGGCAAUGAAUACUCGCAAAUGAAGACAAAAGAACUCAAGAGCAAACUGUGCAACCCAACAGGCUACACUACAGCCUCCACAAUGAGAUUCUUCUGGUUGGUUGGUUUGGAGGGGGAGGGGAUGAGUCUGCAAGGGCUGAGAGCAGAUGGGUGGAAUAUAUGAAUAAAAGUUAAAAAAAGAGUGAUUUAGCUAUGUUCCGCCCUACCCCCCCCAAAAAAAUCAUUUCAUUGGUAAACAUACAGAUAGCUUAAAAAUAAACAAUUAAAAAAGAU